rnacentral:rRNA from 1 species
UUGGGCGUAAGAGCUCGUAGGCGGUUUGUCGCGUCUGCCGUGAAAGUCCGGGGCUCAACUCCGGAUCUGCGGUGGGUACGGGCAGACUAGAGUGAUGUAGGGGAGACUGGAAUUCCUGGUGUAGCGGUGAAAUGCGCAGAUAUCAGGAGGAACACCGAUGGCGAAGGCAGGUCUCUGGGCAUUAACUGACGCUGAGGAGCGAAAGCAUGGGGAGCGAACAGGAUUAGAUACCCUGGUAGUCCAUGCCGUAAACGUUGGGCACUAGGUGUGGGGGACAUUCCACGUUUUCCGCGCCGUAGCUAACGCAUUAAGUGCCCCGCCUGGGGAGUACGGCCGCAAGGCUAAAACUCAAAGGAAUUGACGGGGGCCCGCACAAGCGGCGGAGCAUGCGGAUUAAUUCGAUGCAACGCGAAGAACCUUACCAAGGCUUGACAUGGACUGGAAAUACCUGGAAACAGGUGCCCCGCUUGCGGUCGGUUCACAGGUGGUGCAUGGUUGUCGUCAGCUCGUGUCGUGAGAUGUUGGGUUAAGUCCCGCAACGAGCGCAACCCUCGUUCUAUGUUGCCAGCGCGUUAUGGCGGGGACUCAUAGGAGACUGCCGGGGUCAACUCGGAGGAAGGUGGGGACGACGUCAAAUCAUCAUGCCCCUUAUGUCUUGGGCUUCACGCAUGCUACAAUGGCCGGUACAAAGGGUUGCGAUACUGUGAGGUGGAGCUAAUCCCAAAAAGCCGGUCUCAGUUCGGAUUGGGGUCUGCAACUCGACCCCAUGAAGUCGGAGUCGCUAGUAAUCGCAGAUCAGCAACGCUGCGGUGAAUACGUUCCCGGGCCUUGUACACACCGCCCGUCAAGUCACGAAAGUUGGUAACACCCGAAGCCGGUGGGCUAACCCCUUACGGGAGGGAGCU